CAUAUGCCGACAUAAAGAAGAAUCAUCAGUGCAAUAAUUAUCAAUUGCAUCAUGAGUCAUAAUUAGGUUUAGGGUUACAGUUACACAAGCAUGAAAAAAAGGACACAUAAAAAACCUAUAUACAAAAUCUUCUGCUUUCUGCCUUCCUACAUGCCAAAUUGCGAGUUUAGUUCACUUUCUUUUCUUUGCCACCAGAUAGUCCUGGGAUAAAUGCAAUUGUGGUAAAUAAGCUGGAGCCAUGACUACCUCAAUAAAAAAAAGUGUGGAUUCUAAAAAAUAUAUAAUAAAAAAGUUUGGACAUCUUUACCCACACACAUAAUCAUCCAGAAUUUAGUAAUGCAAAUCAAGCUCCUGUGUUAUAGCCAAACCAUGCGAUUCCGAAGAAAUGAAGCACUAACUAAGAAGUGGACUUAGUAGUACGUACAACCAAAACCCAAAGGAGCUCAAAAACAUAUUGAUUCAUAAGAAAACAGCUAACUCAACGACUCUUGCCAAUUGUUUAUACUACCAUAGUAUAAGUAUGCAAAAUCAUGUUUAGAUAUGCAAUCUAAUUGGCUCUGCUCCGAAUACAAAAUUAAUACCUCUGUUUAUUUCCUUUCUUAAAAUCUAAUAGAC
rnacentral:lncRNA from 1 species